UUUCUAUAAUACAUAAACUGUAAUGAAAUUCUAUUAAUUUAUAAAAAAUUCAUUAAUAUUGAUAAACAUCAAAUUAAGAGAGAAUCCAUAGUUCCAAACUACAUAACACACUAAAUCAACAUCUUCAUCCAAUUUAACAAUAAAUCCGAUAAUACAAUAAGAACAUCAUGAAGUUUAAUAGACAAACUAACUAUACUUUAUUCAUGUCUUCAUUAUCAUAAACCCCAUAACAUCAUCGACAUAUUGUUGUUCUUUUUUGAUGUUUUCAUUCGAAUUGAGACACUAGCAUGAUAUUUUUUUCCCUGUUUUGUGUAUCGGGUCGUCUAUCUAAAGCUUCAUUUUGUGGCCCGUAUAACCUCUUCAUAGCUGCAAAAAGCAAAAAAACUAUCAUGCUUUAACAUGUAGAUAGGAUGGCUUUAGUCAACUAGAAUGUCUUAGAGCUGAUUUGUAAAUAACCAAUGGAACAGUCAAAGAGUAUGAUAAAAGUAGGUGAAAUUGUUUUAAUCAAGGUAUCUCCUUACACACUUGAAGAUGGUAAAACGCAUGCCUGAUUGAUUGCCUGUAAUGGUGAUAUUUCACAAAGUUAAUGGUUAAUAUAACAAACUACCAACUUAAAGAUCUAGGUUCUAAAUAAGGCAUAAGUACAUGAAUUGAGAUUGAAGCCCUGUCCUACAUAAGAUAAGAAACACACUUAAGAUGUGGUUUAUAUACAACUUUCACAUAAUAAAUAUAAUCAACAUGAUAUUAAUUAAAUUAUGACUUGUUUAUAAUCUUAAAGAGUAUAACAACUUUCAAAAGGGAAUAACAUAUACAAUUUUCUACCUUUUUUAGUCUAUCACAGCAAGCAUUAUUAUACACAACUCAGAUGCAAAUUGUUCUCCAACCCUCUCAAAUGAUGCCCAAAUAGCAUGUCCCUCCAAAAAUUGAAAUAAUAUGGGUUCAAUUUCAUAAAUAUAGACCAAAUAUUCAAUGAAACAUAUAUCAAAAUCAACUUUGCUAGCCAGGAAACAAUAUUUGCUAAGUAAUCCAUUUAAUUGAAGACAUCGGAGGUGGUGGCUGGUGGGGCACCGAAUGUGAGAGACGUCCAUAAAUAUGCCCCCUAUUUAGAAAAAAAGGGGGUAGCGACUGUGAGUGUCGCCGACGAGAAACAGAGAGACACCGACAAGCAAUAGAAUGAAAGCAGGGAGGAGAUCGGCGAGAAAGAAAGGGACAACCUUACGAUCGUGAGGAGUGAAGUAGACGGCUGAAGAACGAGGGGAUGAAAAAAGUAAUCUAGGGUUUGUCGAUAAUUUAUGUUGC
rnacentral:lncRNA from 1 species